GCAUGCAGUCGAACGGGANCUUAGGGAGCGGAGACUUCGGUCAAUGCACCCUAAGUGAGAGUGGCGAAAGGGUGAGGAAUACUUGGGUAAUUUGCCUUGGAGACUGGGAUAACCUGCCGAAAGGCGGGCUAAUACCGGAUAAGACCACGGUGUCCACGGACACAGUGGUAAAAAUUGGCCUCUAUUUAUAAGCUUUUGCUCCAUGAUAGGCCCAAGUCUUAUUAGCUUGUUGGUGAGGUAACGGCUCACCAAGGCUCUGAUGAGUAGCUGGUCUGAGAGGAUGGUCAGCCACACUGGGACUGAGACACUGCCCAGACUCCUACGGGAGGCUGCAGUCGAGAAUCUUUCGCAAUGGGGGAAACCCUGACGAAGCGACGCCGCGUGAGCGAUGAAGGCCUUCGGGUUGUAAAGCUCUGUCACAAGGGACGAAUAGCAGUACUAAUAAUACUGGUACUGCCUGACGGUACCUUGAGAGGAAGCCCCGGCUAACUCCGUGCCAGCAGCCGCGGUAAUACGGAGGGGGCAAGCGUUGUUCGGAUUUACUGGGUGUAAAGGGUGUGUAGGUGGCAUAGUAAGUGAGAUGUGAAAUCUCCGAGCUCAACUUGGAAACUGCAUUUCAUACUGCUAAGCUAGAGUACCGUAGAGGCAAAUGGAAUUCUUGGUGUAAGAGUGAAAUCUGCAGAUAUCAAGAAGAACACCAGUGGCGAANGCGAUUUGCUGGGCGGAUACUGACGCUGANACACGAAAGCUAGGGUAGCGAACGGGAUUAGAUACCCCGGUAGUCCUAGCCGUAAACGAUGGACACUAGGUGUUGGAANGNNUACCUUUCAGUGCCGCANCUAACGCAUUAAGUGUCCCACCUGGGGAGUANGGUCGCAANANUGAAACUCAA
rnacentral:rRNA from 1 species